GACGAACGCUGGCGGCGUGCUUAACACAUGCAAGUCGAACGGUGAAGCGCCUUCCUUUUUGGUGGGUGGGGUGGCGAGGCGAACGGGUGAGUAACACGAGAGUAACCUGCCCCCUUGUUCUGGAUCACGGCAUGAAGGUGUGGCUAAUACGGGAUAUUCUGGGUCUGUCGCAUGAUGGGUCUGGGAAGGAUGUUGGUUCGGUGGGGGAGGGGCUCGCGGCCUAUCAGCUUGUUGGGGGGGUGAUGGCCUACCACGGCGGGGACGGGUGGCCGGCCUGGGAGGGUAGACGGUCUGACUGGGUCAGAGGCCCCGUCGGGACUCCUACGGGAGGCAGCAGUGGGGAGGAGGGCACAGUGGGCGAAAGUCUGAUGCGGCGGCGCCGCGUGUGGGAUGGAGCCCUUCGGGUUGUGAACCUCUUUCGCCAGUAAAGCGGGCCUGCCUCGUAUGUGGGUGGGUUGACGGUAGCUGGAAAAGAAGCGCCGGCUAACUACGUG
rnacentral:rRNA from 1 species